UGGUAUCAUUAUAUUGUUUUUUGUUUGUUUGUAGCCAUGCACAUUUCAUACAAACUGAAGAGGUUUUGCAGUGAGCAACCAAAGUGAUGGACCAGAAAACAGGAAGAGAAAAGAAAGUUCAGGCAGAGGAGAGAGUGAGGAGAAUCUCUUCAGAUCUAGGCUGUGAGAGUUUGGACUUGACGUGAGUGGAGAAUAUCACAGAGCUUUGCAAAAGGAAUAAGAAGAUCAAGAAACCACACUCAACCAGUGGGUCUGUGGAUAUGCCUGUGGGGUCUGUGGAUAUGACAGAAUUCAUGAAUGCUGCCAGUCGAGGCAAACUGAAUACAAUAGACAAGUAUCUGGCAGAUGGUGGCAAUCCUGAUGUUCAUGAUGAGGUCUACUCUCCCUGUGUGGCAGAAAGAAGAUCAAAUUUAACAUACCACACUAAACUUUAUUUCUACUUAAAAUAUUGUCUAUUUCAAUUUUCCUGUUAAAGAUGACAGCACUACAUCGGGCCUCUAUGGAAGGACACACUGCAGUGAUCCAAAUGCUUCUAGAAAAC